rnacentral:rRNA from 1 species
GACGAACGCUGGCGGCGUGCCUAACACAUGCAAGUCGAGCGGGGCAAACGGAAGCGGUAGCGAUACAGCGGAAGUAAGCCUAGCGGCGAACGGGUGAGUAACGCGUGGGCAAUCUGCCCCCGGGGGUGGGAUAACAGACCGAAAGGCCUGCUAAUACCGCAUGAAGCCGUCCUAUCGCAUGGUAAGACGGUAAAAGGGGAAACCCGCCUGGGGAGGAGCCCGCGUCCCAUUAGCUAGUUGGUGGGGUAAGAGCCUACCAAGGCGACGAUGGUUAGCUGGUCUGAGAGGAUGAUCAGCCACACUGGAACUGAGACACGGUCCAGACUCCUACGGGAGGCAGCAGUGGGGAAUUUUGCGCAAUGGGGGAAACCCUGACGCAGCAACGCCGCGUGAGUGAUGA